UACGAAGGGGGCUAGCGUUGCUCGGAAUCACUGGGCGUAAAGCGCACGUAGGCGGAUUUCUAAGUCAGGGGUGAAAUCCUGGAGCUCAACUCCCGAACUGCCUUUGAUACUGGGAAUCUAGAGUCCGGGAGAGGUGAGUGGAACUGCGAGUGUAGAGGUGAAAUUCGUAGAUAUUAGGAGGAAUACCGGUGGCGAAGGCGGCCUUCUGGGCCAUACUUGACGCUGAGACGCGAAAGCGUGGGGAGCAAACAGG
rnacentral:rRNA from 1 species